rnacentral:rRNA from 1 species
AUACGGAGGGUGCAAGCGUUAAUCGGAAUUACUGGGCGUAAAGCGUACGUAGGCGGUUAUUUAAGUCAGAUGUGAAAGCCCCGGGCUUAACUUGGGAACUGCAUUUGAAACUGGGUAACUAGAGUUUAGUAGAGGGGAGUGGAAUUUCAGGUGUAGCGGUGAAAUGCGUAGAGAUCUGAAGGAACACCAGUGGCGAAGGCGACUCCCUGGACUCGAACUGACGCUGAGGUACGAAAGCGUGGGUAGCAAACGGGAUUAGAAACCCUAGUAGUCC